ACACAUAUACGCACACAACUUUUCGCCGCUCUCUCUCUCUCUGCUUUGCAGAAACAAAUGAACUUUUAACUAAUAAACCUUUCUAUCUAUCAGUCAUCUCCUGAUUAUAUUUCAUUUCAGAUUCAGAUUUUUCCUUUUAAGAAAAAAAAAAAGAAAAACUGUUAACGGACACUAACACCUAUCUAUAUAUAUAUACAUAUUUAUAUAUAUAUGUAUGUAGAGCCUUCCCUUCCUCUCUUCUUAUUAUUCCAUUUGCCUCCCUUCCUCCUCCUUCUUCUUCUUCUUCUUCUUCUUCAGGUCUUUAAUCACUGAUCGGAGGGUCUCGAUCUUCUCCUCCUUUUCCCUUAAUCGUACGGCUAUUACUCUCCCUCCUUCUCUCUCUUUCUACGUAACUGCUGUACCCAGAAAAAACACAGAAACUUCCUUGUUCUUGUAUUCAUUUUAUUAAUUUUAUUUGGUUAUUUAUUUAUUUUUGAUGAAGAAGAAGAUCAGUUCUGUGUCUAUACAUUCAAAUACACAUAUUCAUAUACGUCCCCGUUCUUGAAUCUGUCUGCUUUGAAGGGAGAAAGAAAACAAAAAGAGAGAGAUAGAAAGAAGAGAAAACGCAUCUAUCCACUGAAAUUUCACUCCCUAAGCAAGGGAGAUUAUGGAGCUUAAUGGUCAUAAAAGAACAAGAAGAAAGGAUCAUUUUGUAAAUGGUGAUAUGUUGUUAGAAAGUGUUGGUGAUGUAGAUCCAUGGACAGCAUGGGCAUACAAGCCUCGUACUAUUUCAUUGUUACUUAUUGGUGCAUGCUUUCUUAUUUGGGCAAGUGGAGCCCUUGAUCCUGAAAGCUGUGCAUCUGGUGACAUGGUUACAUCUGUGAAGAGGGGUGUAUGGGCAAUGAUUGCAGUUUUUCUUGCUUAUUGCUCGUUGCAGGCCCCUUCAACAGUUCUUAUAAGGCCGCAUCCGGCAAUCUGGCGUUUAGUUCAUGGACUGGCUGUAGUUUAUCUUGUUUCUCUCACAUUUUUGCUUUUCCAGAAGCGUGAUGAUGCUCGGCAAUUUAUGAAGUUUCUCCACCCAGACCUUGGAGUUGAACUUCCUGAAAGAUCAUAUGGUGCAGAUUGUCGAAUUUACAUGCCUGAGCAUCCCUCAAGCAGGUUUAAGAAUGUUUAUGACACACUUUUUGAUGAAUUUGUUCUAGCUCAUAUAUUUGGGUGGUGGGGGAAGGCUAUAUUAAUCCGUAACCAGCCACUUCUUUGGGUUUUAUCUAUUGGGUUCGAGUUCUUGGAGUUUACUUUCCGCCAUAUGCUGCCAAACUUCAACGAGUGUUGGUGGGACAGUAUUAUUCUUGAUAUAUUGAUAUGCAAUUGGUUUGGUAUUUGGGCAGGAAUGCACACAGUUAGGUACUUCGACGGAAAAACAUAUGAGUGGGUUGGUAUAAGUCGCCAACCAAAUAUUUUUAGCAAGGUUAAACGAACAUUAGGACAGUUUACACCAGCACAGUGGGACAAAGAUGAGUGGCAUCCCUUGCUUGGUCCAUGGCGAUUUAUCCAAGUUCUCAGUCUUUGCAUAGUGUUUCUGACAGUAGAGCUCAACACAUUUUUUCUUAAGUUUUGUCUCUGGAUUCCUCCUCGGAACCCUGUCAUAAUUUAUAGGUUGAUCUUGUGGUGGCUAAUUGCCAUACCAACAAUUCGUGAAUACAAUUCAUAUCUCCAAGACCGGAAACCGGUGAAGAAGGUUGGAGCUUUUUGUUGGCUUUCACUUGCUAUUUGCAUUAUUGAACUUCUCAUUUGCAUAAAGUUUGGACAUGGUCUUUAUCCUAAACCAAUGCCUGUAUGGUUGGUUAUCUUCUGGGCAGCUGUUGGAGUUGCCCUUCUACUAUUCAUCAUUAUUUGGUCAUGGCAACUGCAUCAGAGAUUAGGGAGAAAGAGGCAAUGAAUAUUCUAGUAUGGGUUGGAGCAAUUCCUGACGUUUCUUGCAUCCUGUUUAAGGGGAUGGAUUGCAUCAAUAGAGACACAAUCAGGUGGAAAAUGGCAUCGUGCAAAGCUUUUUCUUCCAAAUUGUUUUUCCUCUAACAAUCUCUUCAUUUUGGGAUUCUCCUUUGGUUAGAAGGAGAUGUGUAUAUUUUAGUGGCACCUUGUCCAGAGGUACCAGGAAUCCGUUGCCCUCCAUUAGUGGUUCAGAUGCUAAAGAAAACCCAUUUAGUACGGGAAUGUCAUUACUAAGGAUUUCAUCCCCAUCUGGCUCGCAUAGGGAUUGAACAAUGUCUGCACUUCCACAUUCCCUUCUAUACUCCAUUGUGAUACCAGAAAGCUGAUGGGACUCCAAAAAAUGAUCAGGAAGUAUCUGUAGAAGCAACAAACGAAAUAAGAAGAGAGAGACACUUGACAUUGUUUACUUUUCAAGUAUGGGAUGAGAUGAUGAUUAAUUACCUCUAGCAUCCAUCUUACGUACUUCACAUUGUUGACAUGGUGGUUCAUGUCUAAAUCACUCCUUUUGGGCUACAAAAUUACAAAGUCGCAUCAGCAAGGAUUGGUUCAGCUGUUAUAUGCGUUUAGUUUGGUUAUAAGUUAUGAUGUUCACCUUCAAGUUGGAGAUCACAUAUCUUGCUUUAUCGUCCAACUUGGCAAUUUUAUCAGGUACCUCUUCUUUGAUUGCUUGUUUCUCUAUAAACCAUGGAGAUAUCUCAGCCCUCACCUCCUCUGGCAUCUUCGAGAGGCGCCUUGUCUUCUCGUUCAUCAUCACCCAUGUGCUGUUUCACUUUGAUUAUUAUCAGAACGAGGAAAUGGAAGGCGAACAUAGAGGAGAAAUUACAGACACACACCUAGUUGCACGUACAAAUACAUGGCCUGUCGCUUGGCUCCGGAUGAGCCAGUCUCUCUUCAUUCCAUUCUUUCCUGAUGCUCGUACCCAUGUGUCGAUUUCCACUACCUCUCCCCUACAUGGAUUCCCCAUAUUUUCGUUAAUUGUGCAUUGAAAGUAUAGUAUUUCAGCACGGAGGAAACAUGCAAAUAAAUAUAUGUGUUCCUCUAGGCCUGAGCCUAUAGUUCAUUUAUGUGGCUAAUUAAUGAUGAUGAAGGGAGCUUACCAGAUUGGAUAGUGAUCGACCUGAACUUGUAAUUUGGAGACUACCCAGAUGAGGUUAUUCUUCACCAUUCCAUGAGUGGCCCCAAAUCCAUUGCUGAGAAGUCCGGAGAGCCAUACAUGAUUCAAUGCUGUUUCCUGCAUAUACGACCUCUCUAAGAACGCAAUGUUUUUGCAUCAUAUGAUAGAAUCAAGUCAAUUCAGACAGUUACUUACCUGAAGAAGAUAUAGUAUGCUCUCAAGUGUAGCAGUUUUAUCAGGACCAACUUCGUAGGACCUAAUCACAAUUGUCUGUCUGUAACCAACGCCGCCUUCAAUCAUAAGACCUUGACGAUGAGGAUCAAUGUACUGCUUCUUCGUCGGUAUGUUCUGACGCAUCACUUCUUUUGUGAGAGUCAGAUUUUCAGAAACAGAAGCUAGAUAUAUUGUUGCCACUCCAACAGUUUGACUUGGUGCAUCGAGCUUAAGUGGCCUAGUAGAGGUAGAGGCGCCGUUGAUUUUGAUCUUGUUCAAGUUCUGCUUAUGUGGGUCAUGAUGGCCAUUGCUAUUGGAUAAACACCUGAUAGGCAAGGUGAUUGUAUAAGAGCAAGUACCCAUUUCUUUUUUGCUUUUCUCUAUAUUCUUUAAUGGAGAUGUGGAAAGUUUAAAUUGAA